UACGUAGGUGGCAAGCGUUGUCCGGAAUUAUUGGGCGUAAAGCGCGCGCAGGCGGUCUUUUAAGUCUGAUGUGAAAGCCCACGGCUCAACCGUGGAGGGUCAUUGGAAACUGGGGGACUUGAGUGCAGGAGAGAAGAGUGGAAUUCCACGUGUAGCGGUGAAAUGCGUAGAGAUGUGGAGGAACACCAGUGGCGAAGGCGGCUCACUGGCCCAUAACUGACGCUGAGGCACGAAAGCGUGGGGAGCAAACAGG
rnacentral:rRNA from 1 species